AUCUGUACUUGGAGAAUACCUUCUUUGGAGUAUUUGACAAGUUCUGAUCUUCUGGAAGAGAUGUAUCUUGAAGGUAUUCUGUCUGAGUGCCCAGCUAGCUCCAAGUAGCAGAAGAGAGGAAGAUGAACUCUUGACUCCUUCAAAAUUUCUUCUCCAUUAUGUCAUAUGAACCAAAACGCAGCAUCAUACUAGGCACUCUGAAGAAAAAUCCAUCCCAGCUGAAACUAAGACACUUUCAGAAUACAAAAUGCAGCAAAAAAAUCCAAACAGUAAAGACUCUAUUUAUUUUGUAAUAUGAGCGUUUCAAAAUUAUAUCAUGUUACUGCAUUGAUUAAGGAAGUUUUAAUUUGAAAACAAAUUUCAAGAAAUUUUCAGCUAACUUUUGGAAUGCUGACAUUGGAAAAUUUAACUCCCAUUUGGUUUGUCUUUUAUCAUUAAUUAACCAGUAGCGUUCAUGCACUAUAUUUGUUAUGGAUUUUUGUCACAAAAGAAAUCCUGGAUCUAAAUCUGCACUUAAAUCAAAAAUCUGAAUUUAUCUAUAGAUUGCAACUUUACUUGAAUCAAGAAUAUAAAAGAUCAACCAGUGUUUUGUCAUGUUGAAUUUAGCAUGAAGGCAACAAGAAGAUGAGAAGACAAAUUUUAUUAUUAAUUUUCUUUUAAUUAGCAAGUGCCCACUACAGUUGAAACCAAAUGUUUCAGAUACCCCGUAAUUUGUGAAGUGAAUAGUGAAAGAAAAAAACUCUGAAUGUAAUAAAUUUUCCAUUAAAAAAUGUGUAGACACACACAAAAAAAGAUGGACAGUAUCAUUUCAAAAGGCAUAGAAAGUGAAUACUGAGCUCUUUAUUCGCUGAAGUCUCUGAUAAAUCUGAAAAUUUAAGACUGCUGAAGAAGUUAAGGAGUUCAUCAUUUUUUGAUUGCUUUAUCUGGAUCAUAAAAUAAUAAUUAAAAUAAAAAUAACAUCAUUCUCUAUUUGGACUGUAUGUUUAACCAAAGCUACUCUGAGAGGGAGAGGGACAGUACUUUAAUAUUCCCCUUAGUGUCUCAUCUUUCUUAUCUCUUUGAACUGAAUAUUUUCCUUUUUGACUUUUUUUUUUUGAGCAAAUAAAGUUUUUGUGUGGGUAAAUGGAAAAUCAACAUUCUGCUGGAUUUUAUUGAUUAUUUAAACAGACUUAAUGGGAUUUUUGACAUAAAAAAUAAUAAUAAUGAGAUGAAGAUUCUGAAGAUACUGUACAAUAUCAUUAAACAGAAAUAACAUUUAAUCAGUAAAGUGACAUUGCUAUGAUGGCUAUUUGCUCUGAACUAAUACACUCUGAAAGCAAACUGGAUAUAUCAUGUUAGUUAUUGUCUGUAGCCUUUUGAACAGUUUGGCAAAUUCAUACCAGAAAAUCAUGUACUUCCCAACACUUCUGUGUCAUAAAAUAUGCACUUUUUAAAGAGCAAGUACUUAAGUAAUAAGGUUCACGGUUUUUUGAAGCCAGCCUUUAUGAUGUUCUUUCUCUGAAGAACAAUUUAAUUAGAUAUCAAAAUGUCACCUGCAGU
ensembl:lncRNA